UUCGUGCAUGUGGAAUGUUGUGUUUGGUUGUUCGCAGCAGUUGUUAAGUGAUUACGUGUGGAUCUGGGCAAUAAGGAGCUAUUUAGGCACAUACAAUGGGCAGCAGCCGGUAAAUUAGGUUCUUGGCCCUGCUCAGUUUUUUAAUAUGAUCCAUAAAGACCUUAAACAUGCUUUUUCUGCCUUAGCGUAUGUCGUGUUGUUAAGUCUUGGAAUUCUCAUUGUGUGGCAUAAGCACAUUCCAGUGUCAAUAUGGACAUUGAUGAAGUCUUCUCCCAUAUUGGGGAGUUUGGACCAGCUCAAAAGAAGUAUGUGCUGGUGAUAUCCUUAGCCCAGGUAUACAUAGCAUCAAUUAAUUUAAAUAUGGAAUUUACAGCCUUUGCUCCUGAGUUUGAGUGCUACCC